rnacentral:rRNA from 1 species
GAUGAACGCUGGCGGCGUGCUUAACACAUGCAAGUCGAACGAAGCACCUCUCCCGAAGAUUGACACAGCUUGCUGUAGAUUGAUUCAUUUGAGGUGACUGAGUGGCGGACGGGUGAGUAACGCGUGGGUAACCUGCCUCAUAGAUGGGGACAACAGUUGUAAACGACUGCUAAUACCGCAUAGUAAGAAGAAUUCGCAUGUUUUCUUCUUGAAAGAUUUAUCGCUAUGAGAUGGACCCGCGUCUGAUUAGCUAGUUGGUAAGGUAACGGCUUACCAAGGCGACGAUCAGUAGCCGGCUUGAGAGAGUGAACGGCCACAUUGGGACUGAGACACGGCCCAAACUCAUACGGGAGGCAGCAGUGGGGAAUAUUGCACAAGGGGGGAAACCCUGAUGCAGCGACGCCGCGUGAGUGAAGAAGUAUUUCGGUAUGUAAAGCUCUAUCAGCAGGGAAGAUAAUGACGGUACCUGACUAAGAAGCCCCGGCUAACUACGUG